rfam:Gossypium hirsutum cultivar TM-1 chromosome 20, whole genome shotgun sequence
AAACCAUGCAUUGGACAAUUUUGCAGUAAUUCCUUAAAUCGCAUCCAAGUUUCAUAUAACAUCUCAUCCUUUGAUUGCCGAAAAGAUGUAAUAUCAUUUCGUAACUUU